UGUGAUUUCAGGAGUGUCUUAAAAACCCUCUAAAACAGAGGGGAAGUUCCAAGAGAAUUUCUAAUGGGAGCUGCUGACAGAGAUAGAAAACACAGUUUGUUUAUUUCUAAUAAGGAGCUGGAGGCUGUGGAGAAGCAGAUCCGUGACCUCGUGGAGAAGCAGGCCCAGCAGAGAGUGGAGAGCUGUGCUGGAAACAUUCAGGGGUUGACGCUCAUAAGUCCAGGCGUAAGACAUGAACCAGGACCUGGGCGA